GUCCCUUUAUGAGACAUCCAAUAAAAUUGGAACGAUACAGAAAAAAAAUUAGCAUAGUCCUUGCGUAAAAGUUAACAUCGCACAAAUUGAGAUUCGGUACAAACAC